rnacentral:rRNA from 1 species
GUGUCAGCAGCCGCGGUACUACGUAGGGUGCGAGCGUUAAUCGGAAUUACUGGGCGUAAAGCGUGCGCAGGCGGUUAUGUAAGACAGUUGUGAAAUCCCCGGGCUCAACCUGGGAAUUGCAUCUGUGACUGCAUAGCUAGAGUACGGUAGAGGGGGAUGGAAUUCCGCGUGUAGCAGUGAAAUGCGUAGAUAUGCGGAGGAACACCGAUGGCGAAGGCAAUCCCCUGGACCUGUACUGACGCUCAUGCACGAAAGCGUGGGGAGCAAACAGGAUUAGAUACCCUGGUAGUCCACGCCCUAAACGAUGUCAACUGGUUGUUGGGUGCAUUAGUACUCAGUAACGAAGCUAACGCGUGAAGUUGACCGCCUGGGGAGUACGGCCGCAAGGUUGAA